UAAAAACAUGUUUCUACCCUUCUAGAGGUCUCCGACAUCCGAGAUUCCACCGGACGGUAGGAAUUCCGAUACCGGAGUCUAGCCGGGUAUUACAUAUUUAGUGAUAAAGAAAAUGAACAUAGUUCAGAGAGUGAUGGUGAGACUUAUAGAGACCCUUUUAAGGGUUUAUAAGCAUGCCCUUUUGAAAGUAAAGAAGGUGAACUUAAUAAGUUCAAAAUAGGUCAAGUUUUUAAUGAUGUGAAAGUUGUUAGGGAGGCUUUAAGAAAUUAUGCUGUUAAAGAGGGAUAUGAGAUACACAGAAAAGAGAAUGAUAACAUGAGGGUGACAGCUGUUUAUACUUCUGAAGGGUGUCAGUGGAGGUUUCAUGCAAGUGUCUUACAAGACUAAAUUACCUUUAUGAUUAAGACUCUGAAUGAUACACACACUUGUAUGGGACCUACAGAUAACAAGAACUCUAACUCAAGAACAAAAUGGAUAUUAGAGAAGCUAAUGAAUUUUCUGAGAGCAGAUUGUGAUAUGUCAUAUGAAAUUAUGCAUCAAAUUUUGAUUAAGAAGUGGGGAAUUGAAGUACCUUUGUGGCAGUUGUAUAGGGCAAGAAACCUUGCAAAAGCACAAAACAUUGGAGAGAAUGUAGAUAGCUAUAAUAAGCUAAAGAAGUACUUAUUUUUCUUAUAGAAGUAUAACCUUGGAACUGUGGUGAAAAUACAAAUAGAUACAAUAAUUCAAGAAUAACCUGGGAUGAUAUUUAAAAGGCUGUUUAUAUUAUUCGAAGCAAUUAAAGAGGGCUUUCCAAAGGGUUGUAGACCCUUUAUAAGAUUACAUGGCUGUCAUCUGAAGGGGCCUUAUGGUGGGAUUUUUUUAUCAGCUGUGAUAUUAGAUGGCAAUAAAGGUGUGCUUCCUUCCUUUGGCUUUUGCAUUUGCAGAAUCUAAGUGUGUAGAUAGCUGAAAUUCUUUUUGAAGAACUUGUACCAUCGCAUUGGAGGUGGGACAGAGAAUAAAUCUUGGACAUUCAUGUCAGACUGAUAGAAGGGAUUGGUUGAUUCUGUCAAAAAUUUGUUUUCAAAUGCAUGCCAUCGGUUCUGUUGCAAACAUCUUUUUUUCAAUUUCAAGAAAGAGUUUCUAGGGAUGCAAUUAAGAGAUGACUUUUGGAAUUAUGUUAAAGCUACACACUCAUAUGUAUUUUGGCUUCAUAUGAGAUUGUUAAAACCAAAGAAAGACCAAAAGCCUUAUGAUUGGCUCAUCAACAUACCCUUAUCACAGUGGUCCAGGCACUCAUUUUGGCUAGAAGCUAAAUGUGACAACUAUACAAACAAUAUAACAGAGUCAUUCAACAGUUGGACUGGAAAACUUUGGAGUAUGCCAAUCACAAGUAUUAUUGAGACCAUAAGACAGAAACUCAUGUUGAGAUUUCACAAGAGGUUUGAGAAGGCAAGUACUUGGGAGGGAAUUGUCACACCAAAGAUAGUUAUUGCUCUGAACAAGAUAAUACAACAAAGCAAGAGGUGUGAAAUUGAUUCCAGUAAGAAAUGAAGAAUUUGAAGUGCACGAGGGUCCUUGCAAAUUUGUAGUGUCAUUGGGUAAGAAGAUAUGCUUGGGUGGUGGGACAUCUCUGGACUGCCUUGUAAACAUGCAGCCAGAGCAAUUGGUUACCAAAGAGGGGAGAUCACUGAGUAGUGCCAUGAAUAUUAUCAAAUUAGCACAUAUAGAAAGGUGUAUGAAGGUAUUAUACAUUCUAUCCCUGAAAGAUGAUAGAGCCAGAUGAUAAAUUUUCACCUCUGAUGUCACCUCCAUUAAGAAGACAGCCAGGUAAGCUAAGAAAAGCAAGAAAAAGAGAAGAGGGAGAGUCUGGUCCUGCAUCUGAGAGGAGGCAUAUUGUGACUGUUAUUUGUGCAAAUUGUAACUAAUCGGGGCACAAUAAAAGGAUAUGCCGAUAUGCUGCAAUAGGGUCACAAUCAAAAGCUAGUGUCAAAAGACAACAUGAGUCUCAAUUCAGCAGUCACAUCUACCAGUCAAGGGAUAUGAAGCCAAUAGUAGCCUCAAUAUUUUGCAAGAGUAGCCUUAAUCCAUUAUUGGAUAAACCUUUCAACUGUGGGUGGUGGAAAUACCAUUUUUGUUAAUGUGCAAGAGAUAUAAAUUUUACUUGAUGUGCAUGAGAUAUAUACAGCUAUAUUUUGUUGAUGAUUUUGUUGAUGUAUUAUUGAGGAUGUAAAUGUUGGAGUGAUAUACAUGGAGGCUGUAAAUUUGGGGUUAUUAUGAUUGAGGCUGUAAAUUUGAGAAGAUAGUAUAUUGGUUUUAGUUCCUUUUGUAGAGUGAUAUAUAGGGAGCUAAAUGUAUGGUUCUUUUUGGUUUGAAUACUGUACUUCUCUUAUUAUUUAAUGGAAUUAAGGCUACUUUCUUUUGCAUUCAA